CUUCCCCUCAUAUCUGCCCACACCCCCCAUAUCCCCCCCACCCAUCUGACCCCCCCCCCCAUAUCCCCCCCACCUCGGCUCCAUCCUCUCCCCCCCCCCGCAUCCCCCACGGGGUUCCAACAGGUUCAGGGGCGUUCCAGGCCAAACCAGCUCCACGGGCAGCCUGUGGGGAGAGUCACAAGGUCAGGCACAAGGUCAGGGUCACAGGCAGCAGGUUCAAGGUCAGGGGUCAAGUCAUGGUAGGUCCACUUAGGGUCAGGGUCAGAGGUUACAAGGUCAGGGGUCACAAGGUCAGGGGUCACAAGGUCAGGGGUCAGGGGUCACAAGGUCAGGGGUCACAAGGUCAGGGGUCAGGGGUCACAAGGUCAGGAGUCACAAGAUCAUGGGAUCAUAGGUCACAAGGUCAGGGGUCACAAGGUCAUGGGUCACAGGUCACAAGGUCAGGGGUCACGAGGUCAGGGGGUCAGAGGUCACGAGGUCAAGGGAUUAGGGUUAGGGGUCAUGGGGGCAGAAGGGAACAAGAGAGGAUGGGGUUAAAGGUUAAAGGGUCAGGGGUCACGGGGUCAGGAGGUGGGGUCAAGGGUCACAGGGUCAGAGUUCACAAGGUCAGGAUGUGGGGUCAAGGGGUCACGGGGUCAGAGGUCACAAGGGGGAGGUCAAAGGUCACCUUUCGGCCACGCUCAGUGCCUGGCCGCCAUCUUGGCCCCACACGGAGGCGGCUGCGACGUGGGGCAGCUGGGAGCUGAGGGACACGGCGUCAGUGGGGCAGCGGAUGGGGAGCAGAACCAAUAGGGGACCCAUAACCUACAAUGGGGCAGGGGAUCCUAUAGGGCCGGACCCAUAGCGCCACGGCCACAUAGGAAUCCCAUAGCCCUAUAGGAACAACACCCUGCCCCAUAGACACAGCGUCAGUGGGGCAGCGGAUGGGGAGCAGAACCAAUAGGGGACCCAUAACCUGGUGUGGGACACACGACCCUAUAGACCUAUAGGAACAACACCCUGCCCCAUAGCCAUAUAGGAAUCCCGCAGCCCUAUAGGGCCUGCCCCAUAGCACUACAGCCCUAUAGGAAUCCCACAGCCUUAUAGGGCCUGCCCCAUAGCACCACAACCCUAUAGGAACAACACCCUGCCCCAUAGCCAUAUAGGAAUCCCACAGCCCUAUAGGAACAACACCCUGCCCCACAGCCCUAUAGGAAUCCCACAGCCCUAUAGGAACUGCCCCACAGCCCCAAAGGACCUGCCCCAUAGCCCUAUAGGAACAACCCCCUGCCCCAUAGACACAGCGUCAGUGGGGCAGCGGAUGGGGAGCAGAACCAAUAGGGGACCCAUAACCUGAUGUGGGGCAGGGGAUCCUAUAGGGCCUGACCCAUAGCGCCACGGCCCUAUAGGAACAACCCCCUGCCCCACAGCCCUAUAGGACCUGCCCCAUAGCCAUAUAGGAACAACCCCCCUGCCCUAUAGCCAUAUAGGAACCCCCCCACAGCCCCAUAGACACAGCGUAAGUGGGGCAGCGGAUGGGGAGCAGAACCAAUAGGGGACCCAUAACCUGAUGUGGGGCAGGGGAUCCUAUAGGGCCUGACCCAUAGCGCCACGGCCACAUAGGAAUCACACAGCCCCAUAGGAAUCCCACAGCCCCAUAGCCCUAUAGGAAUCACACAGCCCCAUAGCCCUAUAGGAAUCACACAGCCCCAUAGCCCUAUAGGAAUCACACAGCCCCAUAGGAAUCACACAGCCCCAUAGCCCUAU
ensembl:lncRNA